rnacentral:rRNA from 1 species
GAGCGAUUCUGCGCGACGGUGCGGUCAAAGGUAGGGCGCGGAGGGGCGGUGGUGGCAGUAGUACCUUCACCAAUAUAGAGUUUUUCUCACACGCCGCGCCGACGAAUGGUCCUUUACCUUGUGACUGCCUCUGUUGUCUCGUUUCUUACGGUUCACCGCACAGUGAACCUUCCGGCGUGUGUUGGCCUACACCAGUACGCUGUUACCGUUGGAGCACUAGGGUACCUUACCUCCGUUUGGCGAUUACCGCGGUUCGGAUUGACGGUCCGGCAAGGGGGAAGGGAGGGGAGCGGAGAGGCCGCGGUUCUCGGUAGCGGAGGAGGAGCCGCAGUCUACGCCGAGGCCGAGGCCGAGAGGGCCUUCGCCGCUACUGCUGCGUGGCGGCCAGCAGUCCCGCCGCCAGUCGCGGCGGUGACUCGAGGAGUCCCGGGAGAGAGGGUUCUUCGGUUCCGUUCGACAGCUUCGGCAGUUGCGUCUCAACCUCAGCGGAGCGUCGCAGCUCCUUCACCACCGACAAGAACUUCGGCUGAUGGCCGCACGAAUAAAGGAAUGACCCUUGAAGUGAAACCCGUAUAUACGACUUCUAACGAACAAACUUCUGGGCUGCUAUUUCAAGGCACCUUCCAGAUCUCUAUGAGGGUCUUAGACCUAAACAAUCACGGGAAGAAGCUGUCGGGAACCGAGGUUGAACUUUUAUAUCUGUUCUAUACACAGAGCAAAAACUUCAUGGACAGUAAACACGAUUUGACAUUUGUAUUUUGGUAGAAGAACAAACCAAUUACAACCGUAAACACUUCAAAGAGUACCAUACACCGAAUGUGGUUUCAAACAAAUCGUGUACGAAAAAGCGAUGAGAGACGUGAGAACUUUUAGUACUUACGUCCCAAACUCCCAGCUGUGUUUCAAAUAGUAUCGUUGUACCUGUAAUUCCUGCAUAAACUUCGAGGGCACCUCCGGGGAGUAGCGGUAUUCUCCCUUAUGUUGUAUGCUAAAUCUACUUCUUAUAUUCCAGCAAUCCGUGCGUCUCUCAACCCUGCACAGAGGCGACCUUCGCUAGUCUGUCAAUAAGCAGAGCCGAAGCUUCGUACAGUUCACUUGAAACCUUGUUAACUAAUAUAGUGUUUUGGGUGCCUUUGGGUGCUGCUCGAACACACGAAUUCAUUAAGACAUCAAUAGAGAUGAUAAUUUCCCCUCAAACAUUCAGUAAACAGAGGGAGGGUACCGGGGUGGUUAACUUCCUAGAAGGGUACUAAGAUAUAAAGAAAAAUGGUUGGCGUUGGGGUGGCUCAAGCCGUUCACCACUAAGUUAGUGUAGAAGAAACAAAGAAUCAUACGUGAGUACACUAGGUCACGGUAUUUUUGAUUAGAUAGUAGUUAGUUUUUAACAGAGGUCGUCGGGCACCUAGGUGUUGGUAUGUACCGUUUAGAUGGAUAGAUGUGGUAUAGUCUUGAAACCCUCCUUCCAAACUUCCUUUAUACGGGAUCUCCGUUAUUAUUUCAACAAUAAAAUAUAAAGGAAUAAGUACUAUUUACAAAUAAUAAGUACGAUCUUAACAUAAUUGGCUUUUGAACUAUGUACACACUUAUGUAUCUUUUUUGUGGCACAGGGAUCAUACGGAGAUGAACUGAUCGA